AGUGAACGCUGGCGGUAGGCCUAACACAUGCAAGUCGAACGGCAGCACAGUAAGAGCUUGCUCUUACGGGUGGCGAGUGGCGGACGGGUGAGGAAUACAUCGGAAUCUACUUUUUCGUGGGGGAUAACGUAGGGAAACUUACGCUAAUACCGCAUACGACCUACGGGUGAAAGCAGGGGAUCUUCGGACCUUGCGCGAUUGAAUGAGCCGAUGUCGGAUUAGCUAGUUGGCGGGGUAAAGGCCCACCAAGGCGACGAUCCGUAGCUGGUCAGAGAGGAUGAUCAGCCACACUGGAACUGAGACACGGUCCAGACUCCUACGGGAGGCAGCAGUGGGGAAUAUUGGACAAUGGGCGCAAGCCUGAUCCAGCCAUACCGCGCGGGUGAAGAAGGCCUUCGGGUUGUAAAGCCCUUUUGUUGGGAAAGAAAAGCAGCAGGUUAAUACCCCGCUGUUCUGACGGUACCCAAAGAAUAAGCACCGGCUAACUUCGUG
rnacentral:rRNA from 1 species